rnacentral:rRNA from 1 species
UGAGGAAUAUUGGUCAAUGGGCGGGAGCCUGAACCCGCCAAGCCGCGUGAGGGAAGAAGGCCCUAUGGGUCGUAAACCUCUUUUGUCAGGGAACAAAAGCGAGUAUGUAUACUGGUCUGAGUGUACCUGAAGAAAAAGCAUCGGCUAACUCCGUGCCAGCAGCCGCGGUAAUACGGAGGAUGCGAGCGUUAUCCGGAUUUAUUGGGUUUAAAGGGUGCGUAGGCGGCGGUGCAAGUCAGCGGUAAAAGCCCGGGGGCUCAACCCCGGCGAGCCGUUGAAACUGCAGUGCUAGAGAAGGCGAGAGGUACGCGGAAUGCGCAGUGUAGCGGUGAAAUGCUUAGAUAUUGCGCAGAACUCCGAUUGCGAAGGCAGCGUACUGGCGCCUGACUGACGCUGAGGCACGAAAGCGUGGGGAUCGAACAGGAUUAGAUACC